GCUGAACGCUGGCGGCGUGCCUAAUACAUGCAAGUCGAGCGGAGCGGGAACGGGUGUGUAACACGUGUAUAACCUCCUAUAUUAAUGGGGAAACUUCGGGAAACCGGAGCCAAUCCGGAUACUUAUCGAUGGAUCCGCGCUGCAUUAGGUAGUUGGUAAGGUAACGGCUUACCAAGUCAACGAUGCAUUAGCGAUCGGAGAGUGUGAUCGUCCACACUGGAAAUGAGACACGGUCCAGACUCCGACGGUAGGCAGCAGUAGGGAAUCUUCCGCAAUGGGCGAAAGCCUGGCGCAGCAGCGCCGCGUGAGUGAUGAAGGUCUUCGGAUCGUAAAACUCUGUUAUUAGGGAGGCGUUACCUAUUCAGAAAGCCACGGCUAACUUCGGUCCAGCAGCCGCGGUAAUAC
rnacentral:rRNA from 1 species